rnacentral:rRNA from 1 species
UACGUAGGGUGCAGGCGUUAAUCGGAAUUACUGGGCGUAAAAGCGUGCGCAGGCGGCUCCUUAAGUCAGAUGUGAAAGCCCCGGGCUUAACCUGGGAACUGCGUUUGAAACUGGGGAGCUAGAGUGUAGAAGAGGGGGGGUGGAAUUCCAGGUGUAGCAGUGAAAUGCGUAGAGAUCUGGAGGAACACCGAUGGCGAAGGCAGCCCCCUGGGCUAACACUGACGCUCAUGCACGAAAGCGUGGGGAGCAAACAGG